AUUGAACGCUGGCGGCAGGCCUAACACAUGCAAGUCGAGCGAGCGGCGGACGGGUGAGUAAUGUCUGGGAAACUGCCUGAUGGAGGGGGAUAACUACUGGAAAAGGUAGCUAAUACCGCAUACCAUCAGAUGUGCCCAGGUGGGAUUAGCUAGUUGGUGGGGUAACGGCUCACCGAGGCAACGAUCCCUAGCUGGUCUGAGAGGAUGACCAGCCACACUGUAACUGAGACACGGUCCAGACGCCUACGGGAGGCAGAAGUGGGGAAUAUGGCACAAUGGGCGCAAGCCUGAUGCAGCCAUGCCGCGUGUGUGAAGAAGGCCUUCGGGUUGUAAAGCACUGUCAGCGGGGAAGCGUUACCCGCAGAGGAAGCACCGGCUAACUCCGUGCCAGCAGCCGCGGUAAUUC
rnacentral:rRNA from 1 species